GAACGCUAGCGGGAGGCCUAACACAUGCAAGCCGAGCGGUAUUUGUCUUUCGGGACAGAGAGAGCGGCGUACGGGUGCGGAACACGUGUGCAACCUGCCUUUAUCAGGGGGAUAGCCUUUCGAAAGGAAGAUUAAUACCCCAUAAUAUAUUGAAUGGCAUCAUUUAAUAUUGAAAACUCCGGUGGAUAGAGAUGGGCACGCGCAAGAUUAGAUAGUUGGUGAGGUAACGGCUCACCAAGUCAGUGAUCUUUAGGGGGCCUGAGAGGGUGAUCCCCCACACUGGUACUGAGACACGGACCAGACUCCUACGGGAGGCAGCAGUGAGGAAUAUUGGACAAUGGGUGCGAGCCUGAUCCAGCCAUCCCGCGUGAAGGACGACGGUUCUAUGGAUUGUAAACUUCUUUUAUACAGGGAUAAACCUACUUACGUGUAAGUAGCUGAAGGUACUGUAUGAAUAAGCACCGGCUAACUCCGUGCCAGCAGCCGCGGUAAUACGGAGGGUGCAAGCGUUAUCCGGAUUUAUUGGGUUUAAAGGGUCCGUAGGCGGAUCUGUAAGUCAGUGGUGAAAUCUCACAGCUUAACUGUGAAACUGCCAUUGAUACUGCAGGUCUUGAGUAAAGUAGAAGUGGCUGGAAUAAGUAGUGUAGCGGUGAAAUGCAUAGAUAUUACUUAGAACACCAAUUGCGAAGGCAGGUCACUAUGUUUUAACUGACGCUGAUGGACGAAAGCGUGGGGAGCGAACAGGAUUAGAUACCCUGGUAGUCCACGCCGUAAACGAUGCUAACUCGUUUUUGGGUUUUCGGAUUCAGAGACUAAGCGAAAGUGAUAAGUAGCCACC
rnacentral:rRNA from 2 species